UAGUGGCGAACGGGUGAGUAACACGUGAGUAACCUGCCCUUGACUCUGGGAUAAGCCUGGGAAACUGGGUCUAAUACUGGAUAUGCACCGUGAACCGCAUGGUUUUUGGUGGAAAGAUUUAUUGGUCAAGGAUGGACUCGCGGCCUAUCAGCUUGUUGGUGAGGUAAUGGCUCACCAAGGCGACGACGGGUAGCCGGCCUGAGAGGGUGACCGGCCACACUGGGACUGAGACACGGCCCAGACUCCUACGGGAGGCAGCAGUGGGGAAUAUUGCACAAUGGGCGAAAGCCUGAUGCAGCGACGCCGCGUGAGGGAUGACGGCCUUCGGGUUGUAAACCUCUUUCAGUAGGGAAGAAGCGAAAGUGACGGUACCUGCAGAAGAAGCGCCGGCUAACUACGUGCCAGCAGCCGCGGUAAUACGUAGGGCGCAAGCGUUAUCCGGAAUUAUUGGGCGUAAAGAGCUCGUAGGCGGUUUGUCGCGUCUAUCGUGAAAGUCCGAGGCUCAACCUCGGAUCUGCGGUGGGUACGGGCAGACUAGAGUGAUGUAACGGGGAGACUGGAAUUCCUGGUGUAGCGGUGAAA
rnacentral:rRNA from 1 species